rnacentral:misc_RNA from 1 species
UUGUGUUUAAGUGAUCUGGGGCUUUGCAACUCUGAUAUUUUUUCUCUAAGGUAGAAAAAUAUGAGUAUAAAACCAACUGUUGCAUUGAGAGCCAUUCUCGUUGGAGGAAUAGCUGCCUUUGCAAAAAUUGGUGGUGCCGUUAAAGCUGCAGGAGGAGUAAAAUUAGGUGCAGCUGCUGCUGCCAUGACUGCUGCAGCAACAGCAGCUGUAUCAGGAUCCAAACAGGAAGAAAAGAAGGAUGGUUCUCAGCAGUUGUCGUCCAAGUGAUGCACACAACUCAUGUGUUAUUUUUUUUCUUCAAUGUAACGUCUAAACUGUCAAAAUAAAAGUUGUAGGGUGGUGGAAUAUGCCAAUCAAAUGGUUUCCCAGGAUGAUCUUUAAUAGCUAAGAUAUAUGGGUUCUUACAACUGCGGGACUCGUUAGUUCUGUACUAGUGGAAGUUGGAGUUUGUUGAAGUGAUCACUCAGUGCCUGUGCUAGAUGCAAUUUGUUUUCCCUCCAGUACCUGAGGUAUGUAACUGUUUUUGUACCAGUAAAGGAUAUAUUACUGCUUCCGUGAUACUUUCAAAAGCAAAAUAUAUGUUUUUAUAAGGUUUUAUAACAUGAGAUCUGUCAAUAAACCCAGAUGGAACUUCUGGUUCUGGGCGCGGG